rnacentral:tRNA from 1 species
AAAGCUUUAAGUUAAAACAAAAACUAUCAACCUUCAAAGUUGACAACACAAAAAAUUGUAAGCUUUA